GACGUACGCUGGCGGCGUGCUUAACACAUGCAAGUCGUACGGUAAGGCCCUUUCGGGGGUACACGAGUGGCGAACGGGUGAGUAACACGUGAGUAACCUGCCCACAACUUUGGGAUAACGCUAGGAAACUGGUGCUAAUACUGGAUAUGUGCUCCUGCUGCAUGGUGGGGGUUGGAAAGCUCCGGCGGUUGUGGAUGGACUCGCGGCCUAUCAGCUUGUUGGUGGGGUAGUGGCCUACCAAGGCGGCGACGGGUAGCCGGCCUGAGAGGGUGACCGGCCACAUUGGGACUGAGAUACGGCCCAGACUCCUACGGGAGGCAGCAGUGGGGAAUAUUGCACAAUGGGCGCAAGCCUGAUGCAGCAACGCCGCGUGCGGGAUGACGGCCUUCGGGUUGUAAACCGCUUUCAGCAGGGACGAAGCUUUUUGUGACGGUACCUGUAGAAGAAGCACCGGCUAACUACGUG
rnacentral:rRNA from 1 species